UACGAAGGGGGCGAGCGUUGUUCGGAUUUACUGGGCGUAAAGGGCGCGUAGGCGGCCUUGUCAGUCAGGCGUGAAAGCCCCGGGCUCAACCUGGGAACGGCGCUUGGGACGGCGAGGCUGGAGUUCGGGAGAGGAGAGUGGAAUUCCCAGUGUAGAGGUGAAAUUCGUAGAUAUUGGGAAGAACACCGGUGGCGAAGGCGGCUCUCUGGACCGACACUGACGCUGAGGCGCGACAGCGUGGGGAGCGAACAGG
rnacentral:rRNA from 1 species